rnacentral:rRNA from 1 species
GGCGUAAAGGGUGGUUAGGGAGACACAUCAACUAAAGCCGAAGGCCGUCAAGGCCGUGAUACGCCCCUUCGAUGGCACGAAGACCAACUACGAAAGUGGCUUUACUUAGCCUGACCCCACAAAAGCUGAAGGAACAAACUGGGAUUAGAUACCCCACUAUGCUCAGCCCUAAACAUUGAUCGAAUUUAACUUAUUCUAUCCGCCUGGGAAUUACGGACACUAGUCUAAAAACCAAAGGACUUGGCGGUGCUUUACAUCCACCUAGAGGAGCCUGUUCUGUAACCGAUAACCCCCGUUAAACCUCACCUCCCCUUGCCUUAUCCACCUAUAUACCGCCGCCGUCAGCUUACCCUGAGAGGAGAAGUCGUAUGCAGAAUUGGCAUAGCCCAAAACGUCAGGUCGAGGUGUAGUGAAUGGGGGGGGAAGAAAUGGGCUACAUUUACUACGUCGAAGUAAAUACGGAUAUCUCGUUGAAACAUGAGAUUGAAGGAGGAUUUAGUAGUAAGUGGAAAACAGAGUGUUCCGCUGAAA